UGGGUAACCUGCCUGUAAGACUGGGAUAACUCCGGGAAACCGGGGCUAAUACCGGAUGGUUGUUUGAACCGCAUGGUUCAAACGUAAAAGGUGGCUUCGGCUACCACUUACAGAUGGACCCGCGGCGCAUUAGCUAGUUGGUGAGGUAACGGCUCACCAAGGCAACGAUGCGUAGCCGACCUGAGAGGGUGAUCGGCCACACUGGGACUGAGACACGGCCCAGACUCCUACGGGAGGCAGCAGUAGGGAAUCUUCCGCAAUGGACGAAAGUCUGACGGAGCAACGCCGCGUGAGUGAUGAAGGUUUUCGGGUCGUAAAGCUUUUGUUGUUAGGGAAAAACAAGUACCCGUUCGAAUAGGGCGGUACCUUUGACCGUACCUAACCCAAAAAGCCCCGGGUUACUUACGUGCCCACAAGCCCGGGGUAAUCCUUAGGUGGGCAAGCGUUUGCCCGGAAAUUUUUUGGGCCUAAAAGGGCUCCCAAGGCGGGUUUUUUAAAUUUUAUUUAAAAGCCCCCGGUUUAACCCGGGGAGGGGUUUUUGGGAAAACUGGGGGAAUUUAUUUU
rnacentral:rRNA from 1 species